rnacentral:rRNA from 1 species
GACGAACGCUGGCGGCGUGCUUAACACAUGCAAGUCGAACGUGAUUUUUGUGGAAAGCCCUUCGGGGACGGAAAUGAAAUGAAAGUGGCGAACGGGUGAGUAACACGUGAGCAACCUACCUUACACAGGGGGAUAGCCGUUGGAAACGACGAUUAAUACCGCAUGAGACCACAAAGCCACAUGGCUUAGGGGUAAAAGAUUUAUCGGUGUAAGAUGGGCUCGCGUCUGAUUAGCUAGUUGGAAGGGUAAAGGCCUACCAAGGCAACGAUCAGUAGCCGGUCUGAGAGGAUGAACGGCCACAUUGGAACUGAGACACGGUCCAAACUCCUACGGGAGGCAGCAGUGGGGAAUAUUGCACAAUGGGGGGAACCCUGAUGCAGCGACGCCGCGUGAGCGAAGAAGGUUUUCGAAUCGUAAAGCUCUGUCCUAUGAGAAGAUAAUGACGGUAUCAUAGGAGGAAGCCCCGGCUAAAUACGUGCCAGCAGCCGCGGUAAUACGUAUGGGGCGAGCGUUGUCCGGAAUUAUUGGGCGUAAAGGGUACGUAGGCGGCCUUUUAAGUCAGGUGUGAAAGCGUGAGGCUUAACCUCAUUAAGCACUUGAAACUGGAAGGCUUGAGUGAAGGAGAGGAAAGUGGAAUUCCUAGUGUAGCGGUGAAAUGCGUAGAUAUUGGGAGGAAUACCGGUGGCGAAGGCGACUUUCUGGACUUUUACUGACGCUCAGGUACGAAAGCGUGGGGAGCAAACAGG